AUGACAAAUGCUUAUGUUUGCCACUUUAAUGUUCAGCCUAUAUAUAAUGAACUCGACGGGCGGUCAACCCGGAAGAUGAAUCAAGUGGGGAGAAUUACAACUGCUCUUUGUAUUACUGUUUAUGCUUCAACUGCUGUAUCGGGUUAUUUACUCUUUGGGAAGGAUACAGAAGCUGAUGUGCUGACCAAUUUUGACAUGGACCUUGGUAUUCCUUUUAGCUCUGCGUUGGAUUAUAUUGUU
rnacentral:misc_RNA from 1 species